CUCGGGCUCUCUCAGCUGUGAUUGAGCUUCGGUUACAGAGAGUGGGAGCAGAGCGUGACCAGGUCUGAGAAUAGCAAAGCAACUUAUUCCUUUCAGGGCAUUCACACUGAUGUCCUAUUUUCAAACUGUUUGAAGACUGCCUCAUUCUGCCUCCAGUACCAGCAUCUUUUCUCUUCUGUGAUCAGUGUAAUUUACAGGAGCUUUUUAAGUAACAAACAAAAUGAGCCAAAGACGUGGAAAAUAUGACUUUUAUAUUGGUCUUGGAUUAGCUCUGAGCUCCAACAUUUUCAUUGGAGGAAGUUUCAUUCUGGAAAAAAAAAAAAGGCCUUUUGCAACUUGCCAGAAAAGGCUCUAUGAGAGCAGGGUCAAGGGGCCAUGCGUAUCUAAAAGAAUGGUUGUGGUGGGCUGGACAGCUGUCAAUGGCAGCUGGGGAGGUGGCCAACUUUGCUGCAUACAUGUUUGCACCAGCCACGCUAGUGACUACACUAGGAGCUCUCAGCGUCCUAGUAAGUGCCAUUCUUUCUUCAUACUUUCUGAAUGAAAGACUUAACCUUCAUGGGAAAAUUGGGUGUUUGCUAAGUAUUCUAGGAUCUACAGUUAUAGUCAUUCAUGCUCCAAAAGAAGAGGAGAUUGAGACCAUAAAUGAAAUGUCUCACAAGUUAGGUGAUCCAGGUUUUGUGGUCUUUGCAACACUUGGGUCAUUGUGGCCUUGAUAUUAAUCUUCGUGGUGGGUCCUCACCACGGGCAGACAAACAUUCCUGUGUAUAUAACAAUCUGCUCUGUCAUUGGCGCAUUCUCAGUCUCCUGUGUUAAGGGCCUGGGCAUUGCCAUCAAAGAGCUGUUUGCUGGAAAGCCUGUACUGCGGCACCCCCUGGCCUGGAUUCUGCUGCUGAGCCUCAUCAUCUGUGUGAGCACACAGAUUAAUUACCUGAACAGGCCCCUGGAUAUAUUCAACAUGUCCAUUGUGACUCCAAUAUGUUAUGUGUUCUUUACAACAUCAGUUUUAACUUGUUCGGCUAUUCUUUUUAAGGAGUGGCAAGAUAUGCCUUUGAUGAUGUCAUUGGCACUUUAAGUGGCUUCUUUACAAUCGUUGUGGGGAUAUUCUUGUUGCAUGCCUUUAAAGACGUCAGCUUUAGUCUAGCAAGUCUGCCUGUGUAUUUUCAAAAAGACAAAAAAGCAAUGAAUGGCAAUCUCUCUAAUAUGUAUGAAGUUCUUAAUAAUAAUGAAGAAAGCUUGACUUGUGGGAUUGAACAGCACACUGGUGAAAAUAUCUCCUGAAGAAAUGGAAAUCUCUCAGCUUUUUAA